rnacentral:lncRNA from 1 species
UCCCAUACUAAAACCUACAAAACAGAUACUCUGGUCAUUUAGAAACCCUGAUAUUGAUUCCGGAGUAGAAUCUAAGUACGAUAACUGAAUGAUUAGGCAACGCCCUCCCGUCUGGAGUAUAAAGAGUCGGGCUCUACCCUUGCAUCCUUUGACAUCUAGACCUACAACAGGCGGUUUCAUACUCAGUAAUGGACUGUCUCGAGGCAGAAAACUCGUGGAGGUGACUCAUUUUAAGAAUUGAUUGAGGGAUUGGAUUGGUGGCUAUAAGGACAUGACCAUCUGGGUAUUCCGAUGACUAAAGGUAUUUUUGGGAUUUUCCUGAGGUUGUGUCUGACAUGUAACCACUUUCUAGGAAACCGUAUAAAUAUCCCUUUUAUUCCAUUGAGAAGGGGUUCUUUUUUUUUACUCUUAGACCUUUUGGAGGACUAGAAUACUUGGACAUAAGAAGGCUCUCUGAAUCCUUACCACCCUCCCUAACAAGGUUCUCGAAUUCUAAGAGUUCCGCCACGUAUCGUUGGAGUAAUGGCUCACCUGUUGUUCUCCACUCUUUAAUUCAUCAAUAAAUUCUGUACUUUUCAUGAAUUUCUCUCCUCCUCAACCAAUACAAAAUCAGAACCCUUACAAGGUACGAUUUUCUUGUACACAGUAAAUUAGUAAGAUGAUUUCAAGACACAAAUUUAUUCACUAACUUUAUCUUGUACAACUACUGUUGGUUAUAUUAUCCUGUACGUACAUGUUGAAUUUGUUGUUAAAACAGAUGUAUGUCCAAUGUAAACAUAUCAUGAUAAAUGUGGAGCAGGUGUGCCUGGUUUUCCAAUUCAAUUAAUUGUUCUAGUUUUAGAUAUAUUUCGGUAACAUUCAAAUUUUAAUGUAUUUUUAUUUAAAGGUGAUUAUAGUUUUGAGAUUAAUUGGAUGAUUUAUUCCCAAUCAAGCGUUUGACUCGAACCUCUUAUGAUUAAUAUUACUAAUUACGGAAGAUUAAAAGACGAGUGUUGGACAUAAAAUUAGUCAUCAUAUAAAUAAUUUUCCUUGGAUAGAUAAUGAACCAUAGAUAUAUAUACUCUCUCAGACCGAGUUUAUUUGUUCUAAUUUGAAAGUACACAUUUAGUAAGAAUUUAGUUUCAUCUCCAAAUUAUUUAUCUUAGGUGUUGUUUGUUUACAUCUGAUUGCCUCUUAAUGGACUGCCUCUUAUUCGCUAAGAGGCAUGAUGUUGUUUUUUUUGUUACCUCUGAAUGCCUCUUAAUCGAUAAGACAGCAAAUGAAAUCUUAAUAAUUAAGAGGUACCUCUUAAUGAAUUUUUUUUGAUAUAAAUAUAUUCAACAAUAUUAUGCACUCAUUUUUAUUAAAUUGAAUAUUUAAAAUUAUUAAAUAAAAAUUUACCCUUUAAAAUGGUAAAAUAAUGUCAUUAAGAGACAACUUACUUUUUAGUUAUCAAACAAUUUUUAAAAUUCAGACCUCAUAACCAUUCAAAUGAUCUAAUUUAUUAAGACAUCAUAAUCAUUUAGAUCUUAAUUCUCAGGUUUAUCAAACACAACCUUAAUUACUUUACAACAAUGCUCCUAUCACAUAUAUAUAAAAGGCUCACAUAAUUCUCACAUACACACACAUGCAUAUUGUGGACCCCCGCUGACAUGCAGAGCCAAUCCUGAGUUUUCUAAGGCACAGGGCAAAUUUUCUCAAGUGUGCCCCUUUAUACAAAUUAAAUAAAUUAUCAACUAAUUAAUUUUAUUAAAAUUAUAAGAAUUUACAAAAGAUAAGGAAGAACACUUUAAAAUGUCAUCGAAGCAAAAAAUCAUCACAUAUACCUACAAAAUAAAAAUAUCAAUAAAAUCGGUAAAACUAAUGAAAUACCCACUGUAGUUGGCAUAUUUUACUGAUUACACAAUUAAACUUUUAAUUUUUCAAAUUACCCCACUAAACUAAUUAUUAUUUUGAAAUUGGGUUAUUUCGUUUAAAAAAAUAAACGGACGUUAAUUUUUUAUCUGCAAAACUAAUGAAUUAUCCACUGUAGUUGGCACGUUUUACUGAUUACACCAUUAAAUUUUUAAUUUUUCAGAUUACCCCAUUAAAUUAAUUAAAAAAUGAUUAUUUUAAAUAUUUUUAAAAAUAAUUAUUAUUUUCAGUAAAAAAAUAUUAGAAACUUUAAUUUUUUUCAAUAAAAUGAGUAAAGUUUCAUAAAAUAUAGAUUUGAAAAAAGUAAAGUUUUAUGAAACCUUAUUGAUUUAAAAAAAAUCUUUUUUUUCUUUUGAAAAUAAAAUUUAUUUUUUGAAUCUAUAUUUUAUAAAAUUUUACUCAUUUUUUUAAAAUAUGAAGAAUUUUCCAAUUUUUUCUUGAAAAUAAUGUUUAUUUAUAAAAAUUAUUAAUUUCUUUUUUGAAAAAAUUGAAUCAGUUUUUCUGUUUAUCUUUUACGAUUUUUUUUAAUUUCUAUUUUUAGUUUUUUUUUAAAAAAAAUUCUAAUAUUAAGAAUGGGUCAUUCUGUUAAAAAAUUAAGUAGACAUUAAUUUAAUUUAAAAUUACUUUAAUUUUUUUGAAUAUAUAUUUUAUGAAACUCUACUCAUUUUAUGAAGAAAAAAAGUUUCUAAUAUUUUUUACUUAAAAUAAUAAUUAUUUUUAAAAAUAUUUAAAAUAAUUAUUUUUAAUUAGUUUGAUGGGGUAUUUUAAAAAAUUAAAAGUUCAAUGGUGUAAUCAGUAAAAUGUGUCAACUACAGUGGUAAUUCAUUAGUUUUGUAGAUAAAAAAUUAACGUCCGUUUAUUUUUUUUAACAGAAUAACUCAAUUUCAAAAUAAUAAUUAAUUUAGUGGUGUAAUUUGAAAAAUUAAAAAUUCAAUGGUGUAAUCAGUAAAAUCUACCAACUACAAUGGGUAUUUCUUUAGUUUUGCCCAAUAAAAUCUAAACCACAAAACAUCAUAUCAAUUAUACUAUCAUAUUUAAUGUUUUCUAACAUAUCAUUUUCAAUGCAUAAUAUCGCUAAUUUUUUUAUUAUUUUAUUUUUUUAUACACAUAAAUACAUAAACUUAUAAAAAAUUUGGGCCAUACUCAACUGUGGGCCCUGGGCGGUAGCCCUGUUAGCACUUGCCCAGGGCCGGCUCUGCUGACAUGUUUAGCCCACAAAAAAGCAUGUGUGUGAAUGUGAGCCUUUUUAUGUGAUAGUAGCAUUAUUUAUUACUUUAUUAUCAUCUUUUUUGUUGUAUUUAAUCUCCUAAUUAACUUUUUUCUUGAAAAAAUAAAAUAGAGUGGAAAAAAAAGAGUGGGAUUAUACUUAAAAAUAACAAAGUUAAUAAAAAAAAAUUAAACUGAUGUCAUACUUACAAUGUCAAACUGAUGACCGAUGUAUGUUAUUUUCAAAAAAAAAAAGUGGGAUUACUCUUAAAAUGUCAAAUUUAUUUGUUCUUACGAAUUUAUAUAUGUGGUGCCCGAGUUUUUUAAACUGAUUGUUUGGAUGCAUGUGUAUGAAAGUAUUAUAAUGUAUUGUACUGCCUGCGGAGAUCUGUUUAACAGAUAAACUUUAUAUAAAACAUAAAUAUGAAACUUUUGAAAAUAGUAUGUAACGAACCAAAUUACUAAUAUAGAUCGUUAUAUUAUUUUUGUGAAAGAUUAAUAUAUUGAAGUGGAGGGCUGUGCUUAAUUUAAUGGUUGUAAGAUGAAUGGCAAGAAUUUGGUGUAGACUGAUUUUAAAAAGCCUAUAUAGAAUUCAUAUACUAUAUAUAAUUAACAAACCAUCAUUUCUCCAUAACAUAAGGUUAUAAAAUGCUAAUUAAACAAUAUUAAUAUCCCAUAAUAGUAUCCAAUUAACUAGCGGACAUGAAGAACCUUAAAUCAUACUCAACAGCUUUCUCGCAACUUUGUAAAUGACAUUUGCUUCCUGAAUUGCAUACUUCACAUCUUCUGGAGAGAAAAACCUGGCACUCCAGUCAGGGGACAAAGAAGCAAAAGCAGCAGAAGCAGAAGCUCCUUCUAAGGCCGGUUUCACGUCAUCAAGUAUUCCAAUCUCUCUUGCUAUCUCUUGUAAACUAGAUUUGCUAAGAUUGGGUUUCUUAAGAAUCCUAGCAGCCAAAUCCCCCAUUUCUAGUACUAUAUUACGUAGUAUACAUUCUCUUUCAAAACCUAGAAUGUUGAUGAUCAUGCGCUCAAUAGUAGAAAUCUUGUGUCCCAUACUAAAACCUACAAAACAGAUACUCUGGUCAUUUAGAAACCCUGAUACUGAUUUCGGAGUAGAAUCUAAGUACGAUAACUGAAUUAUCAAGCAACGCCUUCCCGUUCGGAGUAUAAAGAGUCGGGUACUACCCUUGCAUUCCUUGACAUCUAGACCUACAAGAGGCGGCUUCAUAUUCAGCAGCUCAGUAUUCAACUCAUGGAUGCCAAUAUCAACUAAAUCUGCCUGGUCGGCAACUCGAGUUUUCAUACUAACACCAUUCAUGUCGACAUCAUAUAUGCCUGUUUUUGAGGAGGUAAAAGAUCAACAUAUUUCUUGGUAUAUUAUCUAAAUAAUUAGUUGUUGCAAAUGGGGGAUGGGUAAUGGGAAAUAGAAUGACGAGGUUUUAAAUAUGGGCGAGUAUAUGAGGAGUUUGUUGGUCUUGGGAAAAUGGAGUUUAUGUUUUCUAUAUAUUUGGAGGCCAGCAGUGGAAUGUGAACGGACAUUUCCAAACAGAAGAAAUUA